CUUUAUAGUUAUCGUUCUUGGUGUGAACGGGGCUUUAGUGUGAACAGGCCUUUAAUCAGGAUAGAUGCCAUUUUGAAUUUAACGUGGAUUAAAAACGAGGCUGUACUGUCGUGGCACACACGGUAUAAAGGUCGUAAUUUUUCGUCAACUCUCAGCCUUCAAGGCUGUUUUAUGCAGUUUUUGUCUUCUGAGAGUUUUAUUCAUAAAGACGUUUCAUUAGCUAUGCUUUCAAACAACAGUUCAAUCCAUUGAACGCGCUGUAAUUCUGUCCAGCCUCGUUUUCAUUUCUGUCAGAAAUUAAAUAUGACGUUACCCUGACUAAGGUUUAUUAAUGAUAUUUUUUCCCCCA